GUUUUAAAAACACUGCAAAGAACAAGGGCCCGUGCCAUCGCUUGCCAAGUGAAAUGCAGAAGGGAAGAGCUCCUGCUUGCCUGGAGUGGUCCCUUAGCCCUGUCUGAUCUGGCGGUGCUGGUGCUGGAGGAGGCCCUCCCAGCACAUAGACCUCUACCCCUUGCAAGCUCUCACCCUCCUCCUCUCCAGAACGGGGACAACGAGGGGUAUCCCACACUUAUUGGAAACAGUGGCUGCCUGUGUCGGCAAGCGAACGCACAUCCUGUCACUGGUGGAGAAGAGGGCCUUGCUGCUUUCCACACCCAUUCCAGACUUGCAAGAAAGAAAGUCUCCCCAGAAACUGGAAGGGAUCCAGAAGACAUGGGCAGACCUGCAGGUCUGUCUUGAGAGAGAACUGUGUUCUUUCAUUUCUCAGAUCUAUUGAAGCCUUGAGAAGAUUAAUUGAGGGACUGCUUGCCUAGAAGGCAUUUCAGGGAGGCAGGCUCAGUCCUGGAUCAGCAAUGUUCCAGGCUCUCUGGAGAGACACACAUUGUACCCACCUGGGCACCUCGUGGGUAAAAUCCCCCGAACCACGGCUACUGACUUGGGGCUUUGUGGACCCUCUGAACACUUUCGGGCCUAAGAAACCCAGUAACCAAAGCCCUGGGUAAGCUCUUCCUUUCCUUGUGAUGUCUUCAUAAUAAGCUGGGGUGAAUGGUUACA